AAAAAAAAAAUUGCGGGAAAUUCAAUUUUUUAUUCGACUCGGGGAAAAAGUUUCUUUGCUGUGCGACGUGAAUGUCUCACCAGAUUCUGUUAAUGACGAGAAGACUUCUGGAAGGAAAGCUGACGAAAAGAAAAAAAAUCGUCUUUGGUAAAUUAAGGGAAUGACAGCAACAGAGAACAAAAAUCUUCUAAAUGCUGGUUUACUCAUCAAACACCUGCAACAGCUGGGUCUGAUUUAGGCUGAAGCAAGGAA